CAGAACCUCGGUGGGUUAUAUCCAUGGGAAGCUGCGCAAAUGGUGGCGGAUACUAUCACUACUCGUACUCAGUCGUUCGGGGCUGUGAUCGGAUUGUCCCUGUCGAUAUCUACGUUCCUGGUUGCCCUCCUACUGCUGAGGCACUACUUUAUGGAAUUCUUCAGUUGCAAAAGAAGAUCAAUAGACGCAAAGAUUUCCUACAGUGGUGGACCAAGUGAGAACAUCCAUCCAAGUCAGGUAUUGGUCGUUGGUGGAUGCUUCAGACUAUAAUAAGAUGUAUUACAAGGUUGUGGAAAUGUAAUAGAAGAUUAUGAGUGAUGUUUCAAUAAGACCCCAUAACUGAUCCUCCUUGAUGAUGUUUCUUUUUUCCCUCCCCUUUUUCUGUUAAUCUCCCAUGUUAUCUGGAACCUGUGCACGGCAAAGAAUUAUGUCUCUUCAACUUUGG
rnacentral:misc_RNA from 1 species